GCUGUCCAAACUUCAGCAGCAGUUACAACAGCAACAGGUCAAAGCUGCAGCCCGCUCCUAGUUCUAUUUUAACAUAGUAAAUCAAUUAAACCCUUAAAGACUGCCAGUCAUUGGUCAUUGUCAUGUGAUAUAAACAGACUUUUGUUCUGUUUUCCAUGUCUAUUAUACUUUGGUUACAUGUAUGAUAUGCAACGGCAGUUUCCAUUUUUUCAUGAACUUUCUCUUUUAUCAUGUGGAAUGAACAAAGAUAUAUGAUGUUGCUAAAUGCUAUGUAUACUGUUCUUACGCGGGAUAGAAAUAAAAUACAUAUUAAAAUUAUUAUACCCAUAUUUUUCUGAACUGUAUUUAGAACAUGUCAAUUUAAACUUGUUAAUCAACAUUACCAACAAAAUCUCCUAUGCCUUAUUUGAAUUUUGAUAAUGAAACAAUUUAUGAGAACGCUUUAUUUGUAUGUAAAUUAAACUAGCAGAAAAAUU
rnacentral:misc_RNA from 1 species